AGGAAGUCACAGGAGCUGUCUGGCAUCUUGAUAAGCCUUCCUCAGGCACCAGUUUCCACUGGAGCUCCUACAGUCCACCCCCUGAGAAGGCAAAUAGCUAAGAGGAAAACUUCCCUUUCUGCGUGGUCCACCCAUCCUCGCCAGUGAAAAGAAUGGAGGAAAGAUGUUGUCCUGGGAGCUGAGAGAAGAACCCUCCCCAGAACUUUGAGAGAGAAAGAUUCCUUUGUUCCACCAUAAACAGCCAGCUACAGUUCUCAAUUAAGAAUGAUUUUUUUCCCGGGGGCCCCUGGAUGGCUCAGGUGGUUAAGCGUGCAACUUUGGCUCAGGUCACGGUCUCACUAUUUGUGAAUUCAAACCCCACAUCGGGCUCACUGCUGUCGAAGUAGAGCCAGCCUCACUUUGGAUUCCCUGUUCCCACACCUCCCCCCCACCCCCACCCCUGCCUCUCUCCUGUGUGUAUGUGCUUUCUCUCUCUCUCUCUCUCUC